AGCUAGUUGAUGAGUCCCAAAUAGGACGAAAUGCGCGUUAUCCUGGAU
rnacentral:hammerhead_ribozyme from 1 species